UUCUCGCCAAGUGGCGCCCCCAUCCAACCUAUAUCUGAUGUCUCCAUCAGAGGAUGUCUACGGCGGCGGCAUCCUCAUCUUCUUAGAUACAUGGAGCAAUGUCGAACCUAGCAGCAUGCAUUGGAAUGUCCUCUAAGCUAUGCUAAAUAAAAUUUAACCACGGUGAAAAAUGUGACAAGUAAAAGCUUGAAUUGUUAUUUUUUUCAUAGACAAUUUCUUCAUAUAUGCAUACUUUUUUUACACCUACAUCUUCAAUUUGUUUUCACAUAGUUAUUUCUCUUUCACAUCUUCUGCUAUAAUUGUCAGGCUAUAUAAUCAAAUGCUUUGUUCCCGCCUCAUGGAACCAUUUCACGAACCUUACAACUAUCUUAGCAUGCAGAUGUCAUUACCCGUCAGUGAUACGAAAUUUUGAGACCAGUGACAUUUGUUUCAGUACACAAUUCCAUAAUAAGCAUGACAGUUGGGACUGGUUAUGACACAUCGUCAGAUUGUGUGGGCCUGUAGUUCUUAUAUAAGAAUGGUAGCCCCCUAGAGCUUAGUGCCUUAGUGAGCAGAUUGUACUUUGCACAAACUAAUUUUCGUGUGGUUUUCCCUUUAUGACUGGGCAAAAUGAAUUUGCCUAUACUCUAUAGUAGCUGCAUGCUAUCAUGCUACAUUGCUCCAUCUGAU